rnacentral:rRNA from 1 species
AGUGAACGCUGGCGGUAGGCCUAACACAUGCAAGUCGAACGGCAGCACAGUAAGAGCUUGCUCUUACGGGUGGCGAGUGGCGGUCGGGUGAGGAAUACAUCGGAAUCUACUUUUUCGUGGGGGAUAACGUAGGGAAACUUACGCUAAUACCGCAUACGACCUACGGAUGAAAGCAGGGGAUCUUCGGACCUUGCGCGAUUGAAUGAGCCGAUGUCGGAUUAGCUAGUUGGCGGGGUAAAGGCCCACCAAGGCGACGAUCCGUAGCUGGUCUGAGAGGAUGAUCAGCCACACUGGAACUGAGACACGGUCCAGACUCCUACGGGAGGCAGCAGUGGGGAAUAUUGGACAAUGGGCGCAAGCCUGAUCCAGCCAUACCGCGUGGGUGAAGAAGGCCUUCGGGUUGUAAAGCCCUUUUGUUGGGAAAGAAAAGCAGCAGGUUAAUACCCCGCUGUUCUGACGGUACCCAAAGAAUAAGCACCGGCUAACUUCGUG